CCUACGGGUGGCAGCAGUUAGGAAUUUUGCGCAAUGGGGGAAACCCUGACGCAGCAACGCCGCGUGAAGGAUGAAGGCUUUCGGGUUGUAAACUUCUUUUAGCAGGAAAGAACACAAUGACGGUACCUGCAGAAAAAGCACCGGCUAACUCUGUGCCAGCAGCCGCGGUAAUACAGAGGGUGCAAGCGUUAUUCGGAAUUACUGGGCAUAAAGAGCGCGUAGGCGGUCUAAUAAGUCUGAUGUGAAAUCCCUGGACUCAAUUCAGGAAGUGCAUCGGAUACUGCUAGACUAGAGUGCAGGAGAGGAGAGCGGAAUUCCUGGUGUAGAGGUGAAAUUCGUAGAUAUCAGGAGGAACAACAGUGGCGAAGGCGGCUCUCUGGACUGUAACUGACGCUGAGGCGCGAAAGCGUGGGGAGCAAACAGGAUUAGAUACCCGAGUAGUC
rnacentral:rRNA from 1 species